CCGAGUUUUUACGCUCCAAACCCCAUGUGAACCUAUACCUACGCCGUUGCUUCGGCGGGCUUUCAAGCCCCGGGCAGCCGCCUCCCCCCCGACGCCCUCGCGCCUGGGAGGGGGAGGGCACCCGGAACCAGGCGCCCGCCGGAGGAUACAACCAAAAAAACUCUUGUGUUUUCCAAUGCAUGUCUGAGUGGAUUUUUGCAAAUCAAAAUGAAUCA
rnacentral:misc_RNA from 1 species